CUUUAAAAAGGCCAAGUAUUUCUUUUUUGGGGAGCAAGGCUCUUAAGAUGCGAGUCUGCUGACGCUCCUAGCCGAAUAAAAAACCUCUUCCUUCCUUAAUCCGGUGUCUGAGGAGUUUUGUCUGCAGCUUGUCUGCGGCUUGCCUGACUCCAGCCUGAGACUCUGUCUCAAACAAAAGGAAAAGAAAAAACAAAACAAAAAAAACUUCACAGAGGUAGCCCUCACGGGUAAUCGAGAAGCAGAAGAUCUUUCAGGUUGUAGCACAGUUGAGCCAGCAGUUGAGCUGUUACACCUCAUCAACAGGCACCUACCACUUCUUAGUUUUGCCUGCUGCUUUUCUUGGUUCCCUGACCGGGAAGCGAGGUGAUUAAAGGACAGUCGAGGCAACCUCUUAGGCAGCUUAUGCCUGCCCUGUAGAGCAUCGCUGCAGGGGACUCUGGCCAGCUUGAGCGAUGCGGAGCCUGAGAGCACUCCAGGAUAGGCAUUUGCCCCGGUGGAACGCCUCCUCAGCAGGCCCCUGUGGGGGAUCAACACAGUGGCUGAACACCGGGAAGGAACUGGCACUUUAAGUCCGGACAUCUGAAACUUGUUGCAGGUGUUGUGUCUUGGAUCCACCACAGUCAGCUAACACCGGCAGCUCAGGACAAGUGGACCAGCCGGCAGGACACAGAUCAUCCAACCUGGCUGAUCCUGAGACGAGACCAAGCUGCUACUGAGGAUGACAGCCCUGUUCUGGUCACUCCGGAUACUGACCAGUCUACGCAAGGCUGAAGCUUGAGGAGACAACAAGCCCUUCUCUAGUCACACACCGGCAGCUGACUAGUCUACACAUGGUCGAAGCUUGAGGACUUGUCAAGCAAGACCCCUGUCUCGAUAAAUUGGCUCUAUCUGGGCUACAGGCAAGGAGAAACUGUUGAACAGUUACAACCGGAGGAGAGCCAAGGCUACUCAUGAGCAC